ACAGCAUAAAGGGUGCGGGAUGGGGCAGGAGACCGGAGGGAGUUGAGGUUUUGCACCCGAUAAGGAGACGCAUAAAGGGAACGGGUGGGGACACAGGGCCCCUGCAGCCUCAGGAGGAUCAGCAGUGGCCUGGUUUGCUCGUUUCGUCAUUCGUCGUGGGCACCUUGUCCCCGGGGCCGGCCAGUUACUUGGCUUCCCGGCUCAUCAUCCUGCCGGAAGCAUCUCCAGCUUGGGGAUGUUGGAGGGUCCCUGGCCCCACCUGGCUGGGGAUGGAGUGUAAGCCGAGGAGAUGCCAUGUGAGGGUGCAGCGAGGAGUCGGGCCGUCUAAAAGCAAAGAAAGAGAUUUCAUCAGACACCGCAUCUGCUGACACCUUGUUCUUGGACUUCCAGCUUCCAAAACCGCGAGAAAUAAAUGUCUGUGUCUAACCCCCAACCCUACCACCUCACCUGCCGUGUGUGGUGUUUUGUGAUGGCAGCCCCAGCUGACUGAGACACCUGGUUAGACCGGAAUAAGCAGGCUGCAAUCGGUAGCAGUCACCAUUGAACAUCCUUGAAGCAAUUCUUCCAAAAUUACCUCGCAUCAAAGACUGCACAAGAACUGCUCUAAGUGGAAGGACUGAUGUCGGCAACCAGGGUUCCACCAGGGGCUGCAGACAGCCCUUGACCUUCAGGUGGGAAGGUGUCACUGAGUUCAGACCCUCUGGCAAUCCCUAGCUAUCAACAUUUUGAUAAGAAAAUAAGUGGAAAGGUAAAAUUAGACAAAGACAUUAUUACCUUAGAGGACAAUUAAGCAUUGGUGGCUAAUCUAAACAUAUCCUUACAAUUUUUAUUUUAGUACUAGCUGUGAUUUAUUGUAGGUUUUCCAUUUGUGCCAGGCACUAACAGCACUAUGAAUUGCCUAUACAACGCUACAAUCACCAGAUUUUUCUCUUUUAUUAUUACCACUUAUAGAUCAGGACAUUGAAACUCAUUUGCCCAAAGUAUGCCAAUGGAAAUUGGUGGAGCCAGGUUCUAACCCAAAUAUCUAGGUCUUAAGUGAUUACUUUUAACCACUGCACUGCGAUUUACUACUGGGAGGAGGAAUAAUAAUAUCUAUACUUGAUUGAUUAAUGCCUACAUACUAGGCACUUUACUAAGCUCUUUUUUAAAUGUUUCAUUUCAUUUGUAAUUGACACAUAGCAAUUGUACAUAUUUAUGGGGUUCAGUGUGAUGUUUCAGUGCAUGGAUAUAUUGUAUAAUGAUCAAUUAGGGUAAUCAGUAUAUCUAUCACUUUAAACAUUUAUCCUUUCUUUGUGGUGAGAAAAUUCAAAAUCUUCUCUUCUAGUUAUUUUGAAAUAUACAAUAUAUUAUUAUUAGCUAUAGUCACCCUAGUGUGUAAUAGAACAUCAGAAUUUAUUAUUUCUGUCUAACUGGAAUUUUGAAACCAUGGACCAACUUCUCUUCUCUCCCCAACUACCUUCCUCAUCCUCUGGUACCACUAUUCUACUCUAAUUAUAUGAGAUCAAGCUUUCAAAAAAAAAUGCUUGUCAACAAAUAAUAAUUGUACAUAUUCAUAAGGUACAUAAGAUGUUUCAAUACAUAUAAUGUAUAGUGAUCAAAUCAGGGUAAUUAGCAUAUAUGUCAUCUCAAAUGUUUAUCAUUUAUUAUAUAUUUGUGUUGGAAACAUUCAACAUCCUCCUUUUAGCUAUUUGACACUAUUCACUAUACUAUUGUUGACAUUCUACAGUGGUGUAGAACACUAGAACUAUUCCUCUUUUCAAGCUGUAAUUUGUAGCCUUUAACAACUCUCUCCCUAUCCCUCCCUUCCUGGGACCCUUCUCAGCCUCUAGUAUCUUCUGUUUACUUUUUACUUCUUGAGAUCAACUUCUUUUAGCUGCCACCUAUGAGUGAGAACAUGCAGCGUUAAUCUUUCUGUUCCUGGCUUGUUUAACAUAAUGUACUCUGGCUUCAUCCAUGUUGCUGCAAAUAAUAGGAUUUCAUUAUUUUUUAUAGCUGAAUAGUAUUCCAUGGUAUGUAUAUACCACAUUUUCUUUAUCCAUUCAUGUGUGGUCAGACAACUAGGUUGAUUCCAUGUCUUGGUUAUUGUGAACAGAGCUGCAAUAAACCCGGGGCUGCAGAUGACUCUUUGA